rnacentral:misc_RNA from 1 species
UUUCCGUAGGUGAACCUGCGGAAGGAUCAUUACAGAGUUCAUGCCCUCACGGGUAGAUCUCCCACCCUUGAAUAUUUAUACCUUAGUUGCUUUGGCAGGCCGUGGAAACACCAUGGGCUCCGGCUUAUGCGUGCCUGCCAGAGGAAACAAACUCUGUUUUUAGUGACGUCUGAGUACUAUAUAAUAGUUAAAACUUUCAACAGCGGAUCUCUUGGUUCUG